rnacentral:lncRNA from 1 species
UUUUUUCUUUCAAAUCAUUUAUCAUUUUCAUCUUACUUUCUAAUUUAGAGUCGGUUUGUUUUGGUUUUUUUUAAAUGAUUUUUAUAGCGUAACAUAUUUUGAUAUAAAAAAAAUUUAUAAAGAAACUUUUUAUAAAAGUUUUAAAUAAAAAUAUGGUUUGAAUAAUUAUUCUUAAAAUGUUAUUUUAAGUAUUUCAUCAUUUUAUCGAAAAAAAAUUGGAUAUCAAAAUUUUAAAAAAUCACUUAAUUUUGAAGCUAUUUCAAAUAGCAUUUCAUAAAAAU